GUCUAAGUAUGAACUAAUUCAGACCAUGAAACUGUGGAUGGCUCAUUAAAUUAGUUAUAGUUUCUUUGAUGGUACCCUACUACUCGGAUAAUCGUAGUAAUUCUAGAGCUAAUACGUGCACCAAGUCCCGACUCUUUGGAGGGGAUGGAUUUAUUAGAUAUACGUAGUUGAUCAUGCCAGUAGUCAUAUGCUUGUCUCAAAGAGUAAGCCAUGUAUGUCUAAGUAUGAACUAAUUCAGAUUGUGAAAUUGCGUAUGGCUCAUUAAAUCAAUUACAGUUUCUUUGAUGGUACCCUACUACUCGGAUAAUCGUAGUAAUUCUAGAG
rnacentral:ncRNA from 1 species